UUCCGGUUGAUCCUGCCGGAGGUUACUGCUAUCGGGGGUUCGACUAAGCCAUGCGAGUCGAAUGUAGCAAUACAUGGCGUACUGCUCAGUAACACGUGGACAACCUGCCCUUAUGACGGGGAUAAACCCGGGAAACUGGGUAUAAUACCCGAUAGGUCUCGACUGCUGGAAUGCAUCGAGAUCUAAAGCUCCGGCGCCUAAGGAUGGGUCUGCGGCCUAUGAGGUAGUAGUGGGUGUAGUGUACCUACUAGCCUACGACGGGUACGGGUUGUGAGAGCAAGAGCCCGGAGAUGGAUUCUGAGACACGAAUCCAGGCCCUACGGGGUGCAGCAGGCGCGAAAACUUUACAAUGCUGGCAACAGCGAUAAGGGAACCUCGAGUACCAGGUUACAAAUCUGGCUGUCGUGAUGCCUAAAAAGCAUUGCAUAGCAGGGCCGGGCAAGACCGGUGCCAGCCGCCGCGGUAACACCGGCGGCUCGAGUGGUAACCGUUAUUAUUGGGUCUAAAGGGUCUGUAGCCGGCCGGAUAAGUCCCUUGAGAAAUCUGACAGCUUAACUGUCAGGCUUUCAGGAGAUACUGUCUGGCUCGAGGCCGGGAGAGGUGAGAGGUACUUCAGGGGUAGGGGUGAAAUCUUGUAAUCCUUGAAGGACCACCAGUGGUGAAGGCGUCUCACCAGAACGGACCUGACGGCAAGGGACGAAAGCUAGGGGCACGAACCGGAUUAGAUACCCGGGUAGUCCU
rnacentral:rRNA from 1 species